rnacentral:lncRNA from 12 species
AUGGUUGGCUCUAUUUUCCUUGUUUGGGAGCUUGAAUUAAGGGGAAUUUGGCUCUGUCCCCUCCAAGGGGAGGAGGAUGCUGGAAGCCUGCUCCUCCCUACUCUACCCCCCAAGGCUGCAACACUUCCUGCUUCUAGAUCCGGAAGAGAAAGAAGAGAAAAUGAACUCUGCCUUGGUUGGCCCUACUGCCCUCCCCCAUGCCAGCAUGAUUCCUGUGGGGGUUCCAACGGGAGCAGUGCUCUACCUUCCUCCAGUUGGUCCUGUUCUGCCCUGCGUGUCACCCCGAUCUGCUGCUGCCUGACCAGCCUGGACCCGAGAGACUCCGUUGGGCUCCCUCAGUCUCCCUGUUCGGCUCCCUGGGUGUGCCCCAUGGGCCGUGCUCACGCCAGACUCGCCUCAGAGAAGCCCGUCCGGCGUGCUCUGCUCGGACGUGGACAGCAGCUGCGGCCAGGAGCCCGGGGGCCCCCAACUUGGAUCCCGAGUGGUGGUCCUGCCUGCGGCUCCGCUGCCCACGCCCUUAGGCUGGAGGGGCCAUGGUGACACGGGACAGCUUGGUUCUCGUCUCACAGAGCCGAAGACCCAAUCUCACAGGCAACAGAGUGAGCACAGCCACAGCCACAGACAGACAUUUGUUAAGCAGAGAAAGCUCUCAACCUGAGAGGGAUCGGAACGGUGGCUAAGGAGGGCUUUUUUUUUUUAACUUAUUUUAUUUUAUUUUUUAAUUUAUUUAUGAUAGUCACACAGAGGGAGAGAGAGAGAGAGGCAGAGACACAGGCAGAGGGAGAAGCAGGCUCCAUGCACUGGGAGCCCGACGUGGGAUUCGAUCCCGGGUCUCCAGGAUCGCCCCUGGGCCAAAGGCAGGCGCCAAACCGCUGCGCCACCCAAGGUUCCCCAGGAGGGCUUUAACCAUCUUUCUAGGAAACAGACCAGAGACCUUGGGGAAUUUCUCAUCAGUAUCAGGGGGGGAUUUGUAAGUUUCCUGUCUAUACUUGGAAGGAACUCGGUGGACUUGAAACAAACAAGAUGUUUUUGUGAAUAUCAGGAGCACAAACCACGGGUUCCCUUCUCUCUGGUUAAUACUCCUCCAUAAUAUUUCUCUACAUCUGGGGUUUCUGGGAGCCUAAUAACCAUUAAAGGGGGUUACUCCCUAACAAUUUGGAGUUAGGGAGCCAGGUUUGUUUUUCCGAUUUUACUGUCUUAUCUCUGUUCCCUUGGGAUGGGCAGGAGCCUGACUUUGGGGCCUUUCCCUGCCUGGCCCAGUCUGCCCCUAACUCAUUCCUGAAUCACUAGCCCCAUGAACACAGCAAGCACAGAAUUCAGGCCACCGAAGACUCCCCCCCCCCCCCCCCCUAAAGGGCUACCUGGGAAACCUUUGGUGAGAGACAUAACCAAUGGGGUGUGCCCCUUGGUCCCAGGCAGGGAUCCCGAAAAAAUACCAGGGCUAUCUAGCCCCCAGGUGAACAGUUCCAGGGAGAGUGCAGACAGCAGUGAGGCCCCCGUAGGGCCCAAACCCCGGAGGGCCGGUGGCCUCUGUCACUCG